UUAAACACGAACUGCAGUACCAGCGUUUGCAUACUGGAACAUGAUAGGCUCUUAUAUUUUAAGAUGCAAGAACACUUGCCUGUCCACAAUUCAGCCUUUUAAAUGUUCUAUGUAAGGCCCUAGAAUGAAGGCUACCAGAAAGAGGUCACCGUAGAACCCUGGACAAACAUGAGCUUCAAUGUAACUCAAGUUCACUUCCUGCAUUACAAUUUUUUACACAUUCGAGUCAAAUUAAUUCCCCUGAAAGAAAAAAAAAAACCCAACAUAUUAUAAUGUAUAUGGGAAGCAGAACGUUUGAUUUUUCCAACUACCAAAAUGUGACUCUGAACUAAUCAAUAAAAACAAUCAGAGAACAUGUGAGUCGGCAAAACGGCAGAAGCCAAUCACACAGCAAUCAGCAUGACACCACACAAUCACAAUACAAUGGUCAGAGACGAGUCAAUCAGCAUAAGCCACUCAGGAAAGACGUUUGUAAUCAGUCAGUCAGAGUUCAAAGGUCCGCUGACCCAAACACAGGCUGACACACAAACACAAACUCCCUCUAUCAGAGCUUUAUCGUCACUCCCUCCGCCUCUUCUUGGCUGUUGUCAGUGAGACGUAUUAGUCUCUCUCCCUCUCGGUCCAUGUGCGUAGUGACGCUCUGAGGCUGGCACGGUGCACAUCCUCCCCCCCUCCCGCUGCACUGUUCUCUGAGAGCAGCAGAACGAGCGAAAUCCGUGGGAGUCCAAGGGAACUUCCGAUCAGGCGGCGAUAUUAUGAAACAGUGAUUGGCCACGCCGAGUUUGGGAACAGGACGAGACCGGAGAGAAGGAGGCUCAUAUUCACCAGAGGAUGAAUUCCCUCUACUGGCAGAGCUCAUGCGGACGACCAGCCUCCAUCAUCCCAUUAGUUUCUAUUACAUUUGUGACCAUGGAGCAAGGAUUAACCGAAUUAAACCAAAUUAAUGCUGACACA